rnacentral:rRNA from 1 species
UACGGAGGGUGCAAGCGUUAUCCGGAUUCACUGGGUUUAAAGGGUGUGUAGGCGGGUAUUUAAGUCAGUGGUGAAAUCUCCGAGCUCAACUCGGAAACUGCCAUUGAUACUAUUUAUCUUGAAUAUUGUUGAGGUAGGCGGAAUAUGUCAUGUAGCGGUGAAAUGCUUAGAUAUGACAUAGAACACCGAUUGCGAAGGCAGCUUGCUACACGAUCAUUGACACUGAGGCACGAAAGCGUGGGGAUCAAACAGG